GGGCGCACGGUGGAUGCCUUGGCACUAGAAGCCGAUGAAGGACGUUACUAACGACGAUAUGCUUUGGGGAGCUGUAAGUAAGCUUUGAUCCAGAGAUUUCCGAAUGGGGAAACCCAGCAUGAGUUAUGUCAUGUUAUCGAUAUGUGAAUACAUAGCAUAUCAGAAGGCACACCCGGAGAACUGAAACAUCUUAGUACCCGGAGGAAGAGAAAGAAAAUUCGAUUCCCUUAGUAGCGGCGAGCGAAACGGGAAGAGCCCAAACCAACAAGCUUGCUUGUUGGGGUUGUAGGACACUCUAUACGGAGUUACAAAGGACGACAUUAGACGAAUCAUCUGGAAAGAUGAAUCAAAGAAGGUAAUAAUCCUGUAGUCGAAAAUGUUGUCUCUCUUGAGUGGAUCCUGAGUACGACGGAGCACGUGAAAUUCCGUCGGAAUCUGGGAGGACCAUCUCCUAAGGCUAAAUACUCUCUAGUGACCGAUAGUGAACCAGUACCGUGAGGGAAAGGUGAAAAGCACCCCGGAAGGGGAGUGAAAUAGAACCUGAAACCGUGUGCUUACAAGUAGUCAGAGCCCGUUAAUGGGUGAUGGCGUGCCUUUUGUAGAAUGAACCGGCGAGUUACGAUUUGAUGCAAGGUUAAGCAGUAAAUGUGGAGCCGUAGCGAAAGCGAGUCUGAAUAGGGCGUUUAGUAUUUGGUCGUAGACCCGAAACCAGGUGAUCUACCCUUGGUCAGGUUGAAGUUCAGGUAACACUGAAUGGAGGACCGAACCGACUUACGUUGAAAAGUGAGCGGAUGAACUGAGGGUAGCGGAGAAAUUCCAAUCGAACCUGGAGAUAGCUGGUUCUCUCCGAAAUAGCUUUAGGGCUAGCCUCAAGUGAUGAUUAUUGGAGGUAGAGCACUGUUUGGACGAGGGGCCCCUCUCGGGUUACCGAAUUCAGACAAACUCCGAAUGCCAAUUAAUUUAACUUGGGAGUCAGAACAUGGGUGAUAAGGUCCGUGUUCGAAAGGGAAACAGCCCAGACCACCAGCUAAGGUCCCAAAAUAUAUGUUAAGUGGAAAAGGAUGUGGCGUUGCCCAGACAACUAGGAUGUUGGCUUAGAAGCAGCCAUCAUUUAAAGAGUGCGUAAUAGCUCACUAGUCGAGUGACACUGCGCCGAAAAUGUACCGGGGCUAAACAUAUUACCGAAGCUGUGGAUUGUCCUUUGGACAAUGGUAGGAGAGCGUUCUAAGGGCGUUGAAGCAUGAUCGUAAGGACAUGUGGAGCGCUUAGAAGUGAGAAUGCCGGUGUGAGUAGCGAAAGACGGGUGAGAAUCCCGUCCACCGAUUGACUAAGGUUUCCAGAGGAAGGCUCGUCCGCUCUGGGUUAGUCGGGUCCUAAGCUGA
rnacentral:rRNA from 1 species